rnacentral:rRNA from 1 species
CCCUUAGAUGUUCUGGGCUGCACGCGUGCUACACUGAUAUUGCCAAUAUGUCAUUCUUAUCCGAAAUGGAUUGGGUAAUCAAGUAAUGAAAUUUCAUGCUUGGAAUCGGUAAUUGCAAUUUUAUCGUGAACGAGGAAUUCCUAGUAAGCACUAGUCAUCAGCUAAUGUUGAUUAUGUCCCUGCCCUUUGUACACACCGCCCGUCGCUACUACUGAUUGGGUGUUCAAGUGAGAUGCUUAGACCUUUGUUGCAUGGUUCAUUAUUGUGCUCCGAAAGGAAAAAGUUUCAAGCUUGAGUGUCUAGAGGAAGUAAAAGUCGUAACA